CUAAUCAGUUGUUGUAUUCGACUGUAUUCACGGCGUGAAACAGGGGAUUAUACUGUUUUUAAACGGAAAGUGAAUCAAUUAACAUAAUAGACUCCU
rfam:Nicotiana attenuata strain TT chromosome 1, whole genome shotgun sequence.